rnacentral:lncRNA from 1 species
UUUUUUCUAAGAAAGGAGCAACCAUAUUUGAUAUGAUGGAUGUAUGAUUUUACCAAGGAAGAGAAGCAGAUCAGGCACUGAAGGGCCUAUUAACAAGAUAUUGCCAAAAUAUCUCUAGCUUGCUGAAUUUUAAACUUAGUAUUGUUUGCCAAACAUAUGUUUAUUGCUUAAAUCUAUUUCAUGUAUGUUAUUUAUUUAUAACUUUAAAGAUAAUUUAAUAUGUAAAACCAUCUCUGUUGAAAUGUGGGUAUUCAUUUCCAAGCAUCAUUUAUUGCACUUACAGCUGAUGGAUUGCUGCAAGUCAGAACUAAUACACUUGUAAGGAUUAAUAGAAUAUCGGUCCAAAAAAAAAAGAAAGAAAAAGAAAAAGGUGUCUUUAUGGUUGCCAUGUAACUGCAUCUGCCUGGAAGGCUGAGUUCCCUGAGAAGUCUGCUGCGCUGUGUGUCCUGCCACAGAAGGGGAAGGGGUGGUGGGCAGCCCAGGACAGCAGUAAACGGAUGAUCAGUACCUUCUGAUGGAGUGCAAUGGGCAGCCGUAUGUGGUGGUGCAGGACUUCCGCAGCUGGCAAAACAGAGAUCUUACGCUGAACAGGGUCACACUCUUGUGGAAGUGCCCAUGCUGUAGAUGGGGCCGGGAGGAUGCUCAGGGAACCUGGCUUUGCUGAAACGAAACAGGCACAAGAUUCAAGCAGAUGAUCACUGUAUGCCUUGGGGUUUAUUUUCUCCCAGCAGACAGAGUGUCCUGCGUUCCCUGUUCUUACAAAGUGUUGUUAGGGCAAAGAGGUUUUAGGAAAAAACAUCGUGGGCAGCCCACCAGAUUCCCG